UAUAGAGAAUACCGUUUCCACGAAAACGGUCAAAUCCAAAGCGACUGUCUGAACAUCUCUUUUUGAAAAUGGGUAUAAUUCUGCUGGGUCAGUAGUUCAGUUGGUUAGAAUGCCGCUCUGAUACAGCGGAGGUCGAAGAUUCGAGUUCUUCCUGACCCACCACUUAAAUUGAUGAGGUCGGAAUCAAAAACAAAUACUUGUUUUUGAUUCCAGAUGUUCUGAUGAAUAUCUUCGGAAUCUGCUUUUAUUAGCAAUCAUUGUAAAUCGGUUUUUAAUGUCGUAAAUCAAACUUUAUGGAAACAUGACUUUUGAUUUAUUGAACAUCGUAAUCUCAAAAAUCUUUCUAAAUAGAGUAAUCACGAAAGUGAUAAUUCAAUUAGAGAAGCAAGAAUCAACUUAAAUGCUUAAAAAACUCAUUAAGUUCUUUUGAUUGUGUUUGAAGACUUUCUCUUCAAGCAUAAGAUAAAAAGUAACAAAGGGUGUUUAGUGGAUGCCUUGGCAAUCAGAGGCGAUGAAGGACGUGAAAGACUGCGAUAAGUCCGGGUGAGGCGUCAAUAUCCUUUGACCCCGGAAUUUC
rnacentral:misc_RNA from 1 species